UUGGUGAACCAGGCAAGGCAAUCAUUUGAGAAACCAAGGCUUUUGAGUCUGCCGAUAAGAAAGUCGAAAGCCUUGGCCAGGUCGAUUAAUACAGCUGCACAUAUCAUCAUACUGUUAGGCUCAGGUCUACUUCACAGUCACACGCCAAGUCCAUCAGGACUAGACCGUAACACGCCAAGUCCAUCAGGACUAGACCGUCACACGCCAAGUCCAUCAGGACUAGACUGUCACACGCCAAGUCCAUCAGGACUAGACCGUCACACGCCAAGUCCAUCAGGACUAGACCGUCACACGCCAAGUCUAUCAGGACCGUCACACGCCAAGUCUAUCAGGACCGUCACACGCCAAGUCUAUCAGGACCGUCACACGCCAAGUCUAUCAGGACCAUCACACGCCAAGUCUAUCAGGACCGUCACACGCCAAGUCUAUCAGGACUAGACCGUCACACGCCAAGUCUAUCAGGACUAGACCGUCACACGCCAAGUCUAUCAGGACCGUCACACUGUUUCUUUUUUUGAUCACAGUUAUUUGAUUAAUCCAUGUGAUCAAAUUACUAUUUGCAUCCUCUUUGUGACCCAUGACCCUGGGCUGUCAAUCAUUGAAUGAUCACUAUUAUCUGAUUGAUUUAAUUCAGUUACAGAGAUGAAAAGCCUGUUGUCUUUUAGAGAGGGAGGGGACUGGACUUAGUUUUGCAUGAGAAAUAGGAAAUGUUUUCAUUGAGAUAUUGACCCACACCACGCAACCUCCCUUACACAAAGACAUACAGUGGGGCAAAAAAGUAUUUAGUCAGCCACCAAUUGUGCCUGUUCUCCGACUUAAAAAGAUGAGAGAGGCCUGUAAUUUUCAUCAUAGGUCCACUUCAACUAUGACAGACAAAAUGAGAAAAAAAUUCCAGAAAAUCACAUUGUAGGAUUUUUUAUUAAUUUAUUUGCAAAUUAUGGUGGAAAGUAAGUAUUUGGUCAAUAACAAAAGUUUAUCUCAAUACUUUGUUAUAUACCCUUUGUUGGCAAUGACAGAGGUCAAACAUUUUCUGUAAGUCUUCAAAAGGUUUUCACACACUGUUGCUGGUGUUUUGGCCCAUUCCUCCAUGCAGAUCUCCUCUAGAGCAGUGAUGUUUCGGGGCUGUUGCUGGGCAACACAGACUUUCAACUCCCUCCAAAGAUUUUCUAUGGGGUUUAGAUCUGGAGACUGGCUAGGCCACUCCAGGACCUUGAAAUGCUUCUUACAAAGCCACUCCUUCGUUGCCCGGGCGGUGUGUUUGGGAUCAUUGUCAUGCUGAAAGUCCCAGCCACGUUUCAUCUUCAAUGCCCUUGCUGAUGGAAGGUGGUUUU
rnacentral:lncRNA from 13 species